GCCGACGUAGCUCAGUGGUAGAGCAGCUGAUUCGUAAUCAGCAGGUCACGGGUUCGACCCCCGUCGUCGGCU
rnacentral:tRNA from 2 species